rnacentral:rRNA from 1 species
CAGCAGCCGCGGGAAUACAGAGGGUGCGAGCGUUAAUCGGAUUUACUGGGCGUAAAGCGUGCGUAGGCGGCUUCUUAAGUCGGAUGUGAAAUCCCUGAGCUUAACUUAGGAAUUGCAUUCGAUACUGGGAAGCUAGAGUAUGGGAGAGGAUGGUAGAAUUCCAGGUGUAGCGGUGAAAUGCGUAGAUAUCUGGAGGAAUACCGAUGGCGAAGGCAGCCAUCUGGCCUAAUACUGACGCUGAGGUACGAAAGCAUGGGGAGCAAACAGGAUUAGAUACCCCUGUAGUCCUGUCUCUUAUACA